ACGACUCACAGUGGUGGAUCUCAAAUGGUUUUGCUGCAGAAUCCAGAUUUUACAUGGCCAAGACCCAACCCAGCACCAAGAUAAGUAAUAGGUUUGCCGCCAGCCACCUAUUGUUCCCAGGCCGCCCAGCAUCAAAGGACGAUGAAUGACCUCAUUACACGCAGCAGACUGCAAUACAAGUAUCACCAAACAAAGGUUGCCUCCAACAUCCCGGCUUCUUACAUCACUGGUAAUUUAUGGAUGAUACAGGUAAGUGGGGCUUCUGGUUGGUUUGAUUUUAAAAAGCUAAUGUAGGACAGGAUUUGUAAAUGUUGAUCCAGGGGCCAAAAUUUACAUUUCAAUGAAAAGGUGUGUUGCUACGUAGAUAUUGCUGUUUUCAUCUGGCCUAGAUCCAACUGCAACCCAAAGCAGCCCUCUGGUAGAUCUCCCAGUCUCUUGAACAACCUAGAAGUCUACAUUAAGGACAGCUAAAUGUUGUGGAACAUUAAUAUUUUUAACCGCACAUACACUGUGGGUUUGAGAAACAUGUCAGGGGAAAACAAGACUAGACUAACAUAAAAGCAAUGUGGGUCACCUUAGGCAAAACUUAGUCAUUUUCUCCUAAACAGGUUUUAAGUGCACUAAUAUAAUAAAAUAAAGACAUGUUGAUAUAACUCUAGAGAAAUACCCAUGGUGGAGCACAAUUGGUGCACAAUUAAAGUUGGCCAAUUGGUAUGCUUAAGACUGAGAUGGUUUGUAACAUUGUGUGAGACCCAAGGGGCAUAUGAAAACUAGAGCUCUGCUGUCCGCAGAUGUUGUGUGUUUAGGGCACUAUUUAACCUGCAGGGGAAUUGAUUUUUAUAGAUGGAAAGAUAAAUAAUAAUGUGUAGCCUAUUACCUGUCCUUUUGGGGGGUGAAUGUAAAUGUUAGGACACAUCUCUCCAUAAAACCUGCAUUUAGCAGUCAGAUAUUUCCAAAUAUUCAUUGUCAGUGAUAACGCUGUUUUAGACCACUCAUUUUGGUAACUAAAACUGGCACUACUUUCAUGUCUCUCAUAUCACAUCACAGACUUGCUCUCUCAUUUCAAAUGCAACUGCAACUAUCUUGCAUCUCUUGUUUUUUUGACUGUAGUGGACAUGACCUUGGAGGAUUUCAGUUAUAAUAUUACUCCAAGUGUUCAUCUUGUUGCUAGGCCAAUUGUUUUCUAUACUCUAGUGGUGUAUGUUUUAUGAGAGGAAGAUAAUGAGGCAAAAUUUUAAGAUCAAUAUUCAAUUUCCACUUAUUUGGUGAGCAGCCUUGUAAGAAGCAGGACAAUGUACAGUUAGCAGGUCAUUACUGCAUAAUAAAGCUCUUCAGGCUGAUAGAAGACCCUUGUGCUCCACACUGGGGUCCAGACCACCCUGUCACAGUUUCUUUUGCAACAAUACUCAACAGAGUGUACUGGACAUACUCUAUACAGCAGGGACAUCUGCAUUGUUGCUUUUCUACUGGAUUGUCUUUAAGGGUUAAGGUCAAAUCCAUUUUGCGUCACCUCAUUUAGCUGUACAGAGUCACACAAUUUACAACUCAUGACCUCAAUGACACUUUAAGUACUGAAUCAAAUUUAGCUACUAAAUUAAAUUUCUUCCUUUUAUUGACUGAGUUGCAACAGAAUUAACCUCAAUGGAAAGGACCAACGACAAGGUAUAUAGCCUUUUACUGACAAAGUAGUCAUGAUUAACUGGCAAUGUGCAACUUGGUGUGACCCACACAAGACCGCAAAUAUACAAAGGCCUAAAUGUUCAGAGUUUUUCUUCACUGUGAGAGAACACAGCAAGCCGUCAAAGCUCAAUGCAAACCUCAGGAGGAAAGGACUAAUAUGUGUCAAGCAGCAGCAGCCACUCACCCAUGCCCUCCUCCAGAAGUAAACAGCAUGAUGCCAAAUAGCAUGGCAAGCUGGAAGACAGCACUGAGUGAGUCAAAACAAAUGAGGUGUUUCACUCCAUGAGACCAUGGGAGGAUGAAGAUAAGCCUAGGCAAUUCAAAUAUACCCAUCUGGAAAGCGUUUCUUGUCAUUUGUGUAUUUUGGCUGUAAUAAAUUACUCUUUAAUGCUUUAAUCCAUCACCUUGUUUCACUGAAUGCAAAUUGAUUGUUUAUUUUCAGGAGUUAUCAAGCUCUGCAUUGUAAAGAAUCCAACUUGUUAAAAAUCUUCCUGACAAAAGGAAAGUGAGCAAAGGUAAAACCCCAACUAAUAACAGUUGUGCUUAUUACAUGCAACAUCAUGUAAGGUACUUCAUCUUACUACUGCUAGCUCAGACAGCAGGGCCGUGUAGCUUUUCAUCAUUACUGGGGAACAAGCCCUCGAUCAAAAAUGUAUGCCUAUAUUUUAAUACUUUUUAUCUGAUACUAUCGUGGAUAUAAAUUGUCAUUGACUGUGCUAGAGUCAUCCACAAGCUCCUUGUGCAAUAAAGAGCUGCUACAUCAUUGACAACCAAUAGAAAACAUUAGCAAGUUUUGUUUCCUGGAUUGUGGCUUAUUCUGUGCUCUUUUUGUAUCCUGUUACCAUUUUGGUCUGAGAAACCUCUCCAAAUGAUUCAGUGAAUGAGUAAAUGAGCCUAAAUGUGAGGAACCCUUAACUGGACUGCUAUUUUCCUCCUGGUCGGCAGGUGGCGCCUCUAACCAGAUUCCUGCUAAACACUAUCACUCAUUAUGCCUGAUGCAUCACACCUGUAUCUUGCCCUAUUUAAGUGUGUUUGUGCCAUGCCUUAUUGUUCAGUUUUGUGCCUAUGUUACCUGUUGCAAGCUAAGUCUGUUAAAGUUUAAGUCUUUGGACCCUUGUGUCUAUUUUUCUUUGUAUUGUUUCUUGGAAGCCCAGGUCUCUUGUUUUGCUGCACUUUUUAUUAGUAAAGAUUGUUUUUGUGAAA